GUGUUUGUGGUGUAAUGGCAGCAUAAGAAGUUUCACCAACUGCUUGGUGCGGGUUCGAUUCCCGUCGAACACU
rnacentral:tRNA from 1 species